rnacentral:rRNA from 1 species
GAACGCUGGCGGCGUGCUUAACACAUGCAAGUCGAACGGUGAAGCCCAGCUUGCUGGGUGGAUCAGUGGCGAACGGGUGAGUAACACGUGAGCAAUCUGCCCCUGACUCUGGGAUAAGCGCUGGAAACGGCGUCUAAUACCGGAUAUGAGCCACCAUCGCAUGGUGAGUGGUUGGAAAGAUUUUUCGGUCUGGGAUGAGCUCGCGGCCUAUCAGCUUGUUGGUGAGGUAAUGGCUCACCAAGGCGUCGACGGGUAGCCGGCCUGAGAGGGUGACCGGCCACACUGGGACUGAGACACGGCCCAGACUCCUACGGGAGGCAGCAGUGGGGAAUAUUGCACAAUGGGCGGAAGCCUGAUGCAGCAACGCCGCGUGAGGGACGACGGCCUUCGGGUUGUAAACCUCUUUUAGCAGGGAAGAAGCGAAAGUGACGGUACCUGCAGAAAAAGCGCCGGCUAACUACGUGCCAGCAGCCGCGGUAAUACGUAGGGCGCAAGCGUUAUCCGGAAUUAUUGGGCGUAAAGAGCUCGUAGGCGGUUUGUCGCGUCUGCUGUGAAAUCCCGAGGCUCAACCUCGGGUCUGCAGUGGGUACGGGCAGACUAGAGUGCGGUAGGGGAGAUUGGAAUUCCUGGUGUAGCGGUGGAAUGCGCAGAUAUCAGGAGGAACACCGAUGGCGAAGGCAGAUCUCUGGGCCGUAACUGACGCUGAGGAGCGAAAGGGUGGGGAGCAAACAGGCUUAGAUACCCUGGUAGUCCACCCCGUAAA